CCUACGGGCGGCAUCAGUGGGGAAUAUUGGACAAUGGGGGCAACCCUGAUCCAGCCAUGCCGCGUGUGUGAAGAAGGCCCUCGGGUUGUAAAGCACUUUCAGUGAGGAAGAACGCCUGGUGGUUAAUACCCAUCAGGAAAGACAUCACUCACAGAAGAAGCACCGGCUAACUCCGUGCCAGCAGCCGCGGUAAUACGGAGGGUGCGAGCGUUAAUCGGAAUUACUGGGCGUAAAGCGCGCGUAGGUGGCUUGAUAAGCCGGUUGUGAAAGCCCCGGGCUCAACCUGGGAACGGCAUCCGGAACUGUCAAGCUAGAGUGCAGGAGAGGAAGGUAGAAUUCCCGGUGUAGCGGUGAAAUGCGUAGAGAUCGGGAGGAAUACCAGUGGCGAAGGCGGCCUUCUGGACUGACACUGACACUGAGGUGCGAAAGCGUGGGUAGCAAACAGGAUUAGAUACCCUAGUAGUC
rnacentral:rRNA from 1 species